rnacentral:rRNA from 1 species
CACGAAUCUCAAGGGAGAGAAUCACCAGAGCCAAGGGACACAAAUGUCAAAGCAGGGAACCAACAGAGCUAUGUGGCACCAAUCUCAAUGGAGAGAACCACCGGAGCUCUUCUCCACCUUUGUUCUAUCCUGAACUCGCCAUCACCACCUCUCGUCCUCUUCCUCGGCAGAAAAGAAAAGAUGGAGGCCUUCCUCGCCGGCUUCCGGGCGCCGCCUCGAGCUUCCGCCGUACCCACCGCCCGGAGCCCGCCUCCCAGCCCCUUUUUUCUCGGCACACGGCGCAGGAAGCCCUCCUCCUCUGCCUCCGUGGUCUGCAUGGCGGAGCCACAUCUCAUAUCAAAGUUGGAUUCUACAGAGAGGGCAUGGAAAGAAAUGUCGAUUAGAUUGGGUGACCCUGACAUUGUCUCAGAUCCGAGCGAAUACCAAAAACUUGCACAGUCUGUUUCCGAUCUGGGAGAGGUUGUGACGGCAUAUAGGGAAUUUAAGGAAUGUGAACGGCAGAUUGAAGAAACAAAAGCUUUGCAAAAAGAGAAUGGUGAUGACCCUGAUAUGGCUGAGAUGAUAACUUCAGAGCUAGAGUCUCUCUCUGAUCAGCUUGCGGAGCUCGAGGAAAGACUGACGGUACUUCUGCUUCCAAGCGACCCUCUAAAUUCACGUAACAUCUUACUUGAAGUAAGAGCUGGCACUGGAGGUGAUGAAGCUGGAAUUUGGGCUGGUGACCUUGUAGGUACGCAUGUAUCAAAGAUAUUGUGAGCUCAACAAUUGGAAGUUUAAACCAGUUUCUUGCUCAGAAGCAGAAAAGGGUGGAUACAAGACAUUUGUGAUGGAGGUGAAGGGAAAGCAAGUCUACAGUAAACUGAAGUUUGAGUCAGGUGUGCACCGUGUUCAGCGUGUACCACAGACAGAGACUAUGGGUCGUGUUCACACGUCAACCGCAACUGUGGCUAUUAUGCCAGAGGCCGACGAAGUGGACGUGGUUAUCGAUCCAAAAGAUAUUGAACUUAAAGCUGCAAGAUCUGGUGGAGCUGGAGAUAUACCACUUCUGGAGGCAGAAUGUUAACAAGGUGGAGACGGCUAUUGAUCUUAUUCACAAGCCUACGGGAAUAAGGAUAUUCUGCACAGAAGAAAGGUCACAACUUCAAAACAAAGAACGCGCAUUCCAGUUAUUAAGAGCAAAACUAUAUGAGAUAAAGUUAAGGGAGCAACAAGAGUCCAUAAGAACCCAGAGGUUACUGCAGGUCGGUACUGGUGCUCGCUCGGACAAGAUACGGACGUACAAUUAUAAGGACAACAGAGUGACUGAUCAUCGGUUGAAGAUGAAUUUUGUAUUGUCUAGCUUCCUUUUAGGAGAUAUUGAGUCAGCUGUUCAGUCCUGCGCUGCAUUGGAGCAGAAGGAACUCUUGGAGGAAAUGGCCACUUCUUCUGCAGUGAAGGCAUGAUCAGUUUAACUAUUCCUUUUGCUUCUGGCCAUAUCCUAAAGGAGAACAGAUCCAAUGGCAUCUUACAGUCGAUGGAGAUCGUCGACCAAGAUGUACAUGAAAAAACUCGAGAGUCGCGAAUCAUAUUCCUUGCAUGCACACACUGUUUUGUUUGCUCAUGGUCAUUUUGCAUAUACACUAGUGUCUGUAGACAAUUUGAUGCACUCCAGUUGCCCUGAUGGGAGCAGAUUUUGAGUAGCUGAAAUCGACAUUUUUUUACAACAAAGCGGUGACGCUGGUUGAAAAUAUACAUAAAAGUUCUGUGUGGUUGAAGUCCUGAAGAGUGGUGAUGUGUCUGCGUGGAAUCUGUGCACCAG